UGGGGAAUUUUGCGCAAUGGGCGAAAGCCUGACGCAGCGACGCCGCGUGGAGGAUGAAGGUCUUCGGAUUGUAAACUCCUUUUGUAGGGGACAAUAAUGAUGGUACCCUAUGAAUAAGCCACGGCUAACUCUGUGCCAGCAGCCGCGGUAAGACAGAGGUGGCAAGCGUUGUUCGGAAUUACUGGGCUUAAAGGGCGCGUAGGCGGUGGCGUAAGUCCGGGGUGGAAGGCUGAGGCUUAACCUCAGGAUUGCCCUGGAAACUGCAUCACUUGAGUCAGCAAGGGGAUGGCGGAAUUCCUGGUGUAGCGGUGAAAUGCGUAGAUAUCAGGAGGAAGGCCGGUGGCGAAGGCGGCCAUCUGGUGCUGAACUGACGCUGAGGCGCGAAAGCGUGGGGAGCAAACAGG
rnacentral:rRNA from 2 species